GCUUCAACUCAAGUGACUGGCAGGAAACUCUUUUGCCUCUGCUCCAGCACAAAGCACAAUCUGUAGCAGCUCUGCGGCAAUACGGAAAACUCCCACCGAAAAUUGCCAACAAAAAUGUGGGUGAAUAAAGACUGAGCAAUUUAACUCAAUCAAGACAGAGCUGAGAAUCUGCAGGAGCUUGGCACAGCAACAGCUAUUCCAUCUUCUCAGAUGUCACUAUUUUCCACUGCCCUGGAUCUUGCUGAGGAGGUGACUGAAGCUGAAGAGCAAUGCCUGGACAAAUGCCAUUCAGGAAGCCUGUGGUUUACCCACCAUUAUUCUACAAGAUAUUGCUUUCUUGUUCUUUCUCCAGGUUCCCUCAGCUUCUCCCUUGUUUUGGUGCUUCAGAAAAGAUCUGAUAACAAUGGUCAAGAUCAAGUUAAUCUGAUAUGAAAAGAAGCUCUAGCAGAGUAGGAGCUGCAUCCCCACGGUUUUCUUUCCCCCACCCCCCUGCUCUACUAACACAUGGAUGAGAAGCCAUAUGUCUGGGGCAUAUGUUAUGGGUCCUUCCUUCACAAGUAUCUCCUGAUCCCCACCCCCAGUGAAGUUAAUAAUGUCAUGGGAAAGAACCACAGUAGUCCUCACACACACAUGUGGUUCAUAUUGCAUGUCAACUGGGGCAGCACAGAAAGAGGCCACAUGGAAGCACUGGCCACAUACCUGCAGUAACAUGAAAUGUCCCCAAUUCCAGUGUGAAGGGAAAUAGAGGUGGUGUGAAUGAAAGCAUGAGAAUUCAGGAUGAGGAGGAGAAACAUCAGAAGAAAAGAUGGGUUAGGCAUGAGUAAUUCCAGUCCCAUGCACCUCAACACAGGGUGCCAUUGUGGGAAGGUACGGUGGCCCCAAGCAGCAAUGGGCAGGCACUUUCUACUUGCCCACAGUAGAACUCUCAUGGGACUGAGUGUGA